UGCUUCUCUCUUGUGCUACUGUUAGGCCAUGGCCACUGCUCUCUUUCAGCUUCCCUCUGCCAUUAAUGGCGGUUUCUUUCACAGGAGAGAUUUUCCCCAGUUGGGUACUUCAAAAUGGGGAAAUUACCACUCUGCAACUCCUCCUACUUCGAUUUUUCCGAAGAAAUUGUCUCCAACGAGAUGCCAGUCAACCAGUACUGAAGAACCAAAGACAAAAAGAAAUCUACUUGACAAUGCAAGCAACCUUCUUACUAAUUUAUUAAGUGGGGGGAACAUUGGAUCAAUGCCGAUUGCUGAAGGCGCCGUCUCUGAUCUGUUUGACCAGCCUCUUUUUUUUUCACUCUAUGAUUGGUUCUUAGAGCAUGGUUCAGUUUAUAAACUUGCAUUUGGACCAAAGUCAUUUAUUGUUGUCUCAGACCCCAUUGUAGCGAGACACAUCCUGCGUGAAAAUGCAUUUUCUUAUGAUAAGGGAGUUCUUGCUGAUAUCUUAGAACCAAUAAUGGGCAAGGGGCUUAUACCCGCAGAUCUUGACACUUGGAAGCUGAGAAGAAGAGUUAUUGCUCCUGGAUUUCAUUCUUUAUUCUUGGAAGCUAUGGUGAAAAUAUUUACCAAUUGUUCAGAGAGAACAAUUUCUAAAUUUGAAAAGUUUUUUGAAAAGGAAAGCCCAUCUGAAGAUAAAACAGUCGAGUUGGACCUUGAAGCAGAGUUUUCAAGUUUGGCACUUGAUAUUAUUGGGCUUGGUGUAUUCAACUAUGACUUUGGUUCUGUCACUAAAGAAUCUCCUGUGAUUAAGGCGGUAUAUGGAACUCUCUUUGAAGCUGAACAUAGAUCGACUUUCUAUAUUCCUUACUGGAAACUUCCCUUUGCGAGAUGGGUAGUUCCUAGGCAGCGGAAGUUCCACAGUGACCUCAAAGUUAUUAAUGACUGCCUUGAUGGACUCAUAAGAAAUGCCAAAGAGACAAGGCAGGAAACUGAUGUCGAGAAACUUCAACAAAGAGAUUAUGAAAAUCUAAAGGAUGCAAGUUUAUUGCGGUUUCUAGUCGAUAUGCGGGGUGCUGAUGCUGAUGACCGUCAGCUUAGGGAUGACUUGAUGACUAUGCUUAUUGCUGGACAUGAAACAACUGCAGCUGUUCUAACAUGGGCCAUUUUUCUACUCGCCCAAAAUCCAUCUAAAAUGAGAAAAGCUCAAGCAGAGAUUGAUUCUGUACUUGGUCAGGGGAGGACAACGUUCGAAUGUCUCAAGAAAUUGGAGUACAUUCGGCUUAUUGUCGUUGAAGCCCUUCGUCUAUAUCCUCAGCCCCCACUACUCAUUAGACGUACUCUUAAGCCGGAUAGAUUGCCAGGAGGAUACAAUGGCAGUGAAGAUGGAUAUGCAAUUCCUGCGGGCACUGACAUCUUUAUUUCUGUAUACAACCUUCACAGAUCUCCAUAUUUUUGGGACCGUCCUCAUGAAUUUGAACCAGAGAGGUUCUUAGUGUCCAAAGAAAGUGAUGGAAUCAAAGGAUGGUCCGGUUUUGAUCCAUCCCGAAGUCCUGGGGCAAUGUACCCAAACGAGAUUAUCUCGGAUUUUGCUUUUCUACCAUUUGGUGGGGGCCCACGUAAGUGUGUGGGGGACCAAUUUGCUCUAAUGGAAUCAACUGUGGCAUUGGCCAUGUUACUACAAAAGUUCGAUGUGGAGUUGAAGGGGUCUCCGGAUUCAGUGGAACUUGUUACAGGAGCAACGAUCCAUACAAAAAAUGGUCUAUGGUGCAAACUAAGAAAACGGCCUUCACCAAACUAAAAAAGAGGCACGGUCCAUCUAUGAUCAGUCCAAUCAAAUGAACGGUCUGGGUCAGCAGAGCAUGGGCCCCAGCUGUACGUAUUCAUGUCUAGAGGACAUGCAUAUCCUAGCUUAUGGUGUACUCAAGACCUUCAGAUUUAUGCAAGGUAUCAAGGAUCUUCAAGGUGAUUACAGCUGCGUAUAUCAUAAACAGGUGGACUUAGCUGAACGGUCUUACCGACCACUGAUGCUAAAGAAUCCUUCAAUUGAAAGGUAUGUGAGAGGAAGAUUUUCACUCGAAAAAAAAAAUGUGGUCUUUUCCUUGGGAGAUUCAAUCUAAUCAUUUUGGGUCUCUAAACAAUAAGUUAUACUCUUUAAAUGCAAUCUUUGGGAGGGUAUGUGAAUUGUCAUAUUAAUUCUUUUUUGGUAGACUAUUUUCAAAAUGGUUGCAUCCUACAUGACUUGGUCAUGGACAUUCGACAAUGUAGAACACUGUCACAAGGUGUUAGAUGUGGGACCUUGGAAAACCUGACAUGUCAACAUGUCCAUAUAGAUGUGUACCAAUGUUUUAAAUAGCGUGCAGUGUAUAUACUGUUCAGUUUAGCCCUCUA